rnacentral:rRNA from 1 species
UUGAUUUCACACUGCCGAGAAAAGCCUCUAGAUAGAAAAUAGGUGCCCGUACCGCAAACCGACACAGGUAGUCAAGAUGAGAAUUCUAAGGUGAGCGAGCGAACUCUCGUUAAGGAACUCGGCAAAAUGACCCCGUAACUUCGGGAGAAGGGGUGCUCUUUAGGGUUAACGCCCAGAAGAGCCGCAGUGAAUAGGCCCAAGCGACUGUUUAUCAAAAACACAGGUCUCUGCUAAACCGUAAGGUGAUGUAUAGGGGCUGACGCCUGCCCGGUGCUGGAAGGUUAAGAGGAGUGGUUAGCUUCUGCGAAGCUACGAAUCGAAGCCCCAGUAAACGGCGGCCGUAACUAUAACGGUCCUAAGGUAGCGAAAUUCCUUGUCGGGUAAGUUCCGACCCGCACGAAAGGCGUAACGAUUUGGGCACUGUCUCAACGAGAGACUCGGUGAAAUCAUAGUACCUGUGAAGAUGCAGGUUACCCGCGACAGGACGGAAAGACCCCGUGGAGCUUUACUGUAGCCUGAUAUUGAAAUUCGGCACAGCUUGUACAG